rnacentral:rRNA from 1 species
GUCUGCAACUCGACUCCAUGAAGCUGGAUUCGCUAGUAAUCGCGCAUCAGCCAUGGCGCGGUGAAUACGUUCCCGGGCCUUGUACACACCGCCCGUCAAGCCAUGGAAGCCGGGAGUGCCUGAAGUGUGCAACCGCAAGGAGCGCCCUAAGGUAAAACUGGUGACUGGGGCUAAGUCGUAACAAGGUAAC